rnacentral:rRNA from 1 species
UACAGGGGGUGCAAACGUUGCUCGGAAUCAUUGGGCGUAAAGCGCACGUAGGCGGUUCGUUAUGUCGGAUGUGAAAGCCCUUGGCUUAACCGAGGAAGUGCAUCCGAAACUGGCGAGCUAGAGUACGAAAGAGGAUCGCGGAAUUCCCGGUGUAGAGGUGAAAUUCGUAGAUAUCUGGAGGAACACCGGUGGCGAAGGCGGCAUCCUGGACCAACACUGACACUGAGGAGCGAAAGCCAGGGGAGCAAACGGG